rnacentral:lncRNA from 1 species
UAUAAGCUAAAAUCAAAUAUGCAAUUAAAAUAUUAAAUAAGAGAAAGAGUUGGAGAGAGUGCACCGAAUUCGACAAUAAAUUGAGCACUUGAUUACGCAUAUCCGGUGUUACCACGAACAAACGUCAAGCAAGUAUUUCAAUGUUGAACACUUGAACUUCAAGCUUCGAAUUCCGAUUUCCGAAUGAGAAAUUAAGAUAAAUUAAAU